rnacentral:rRNA from 1 species
GACGAACGCUGGCGGCGUGCUUAACACAUGCAAGUCGAACGAUGAAGGAGAGCUUGCUCUCCGGAUUAGUGGCGAACGGGUGAGUAACACGUGACUAACCUGCCCCUUUCUCUGGGAUAACGCUCCGAAAGGAGUGCUAAUACCGGAUACGAACUCUGAACACAUGUUCGGAGUUGGAAAGUUUUUCGGAAAGGGAUGGAGUCGCGGCCUAUCAGCUUGUUGGUGAGGUAACGGCUCACCAAGGCGACGACGGGUAGCCGGCCUGCGCGGGCGACCGGCCACACUGGGACUGAGACACGGCCCAGACUCCUACGGGAGGCAGCAGUGGGGAAUAUUGCACAAUGGGCGAAAGCCUGAUGCAGCGACGCCGCGUGAGGGAUGAAGGUCUUCGGAUUGUAAACCUCUUUCAGUAGGGACGAAGCGAAAGUGACGGUACCUAAAGAAGAAGCACCGGCUAACUACGUGCCAGCCGCCGCAGUAA